rnacentral:misc_RNA from 1 species
UGAUAAAUCACAGUAGCCGAAUUUUGAGUAUUGUUAUCAAAAUCCAGAUAGUCAAAUUGCAUUCAUUCAUAUCUCAACUCACUUGAGAUGCUAUCUUCAUUUUGUAAAUUUUUGAAGCAAAUAUACAUUUUAUAAAUGCCUUCUCUCAGUCAGCUAAUGCUAUAGUGAAUAUUUAGGAUUCCAAGUGAUAAAGCUUGAGACUUCGCCUCUGGUUCCCUGAAACGGUGAAAAGUAAACUGGAAGUUGCAUUCUGCUGUUCUACUUUCAGCGCAUAAAAAAUAAAUGAACAAUCUUUGUGGGGAAAAAUUAAAUUUGCAAGCUUUUCAAGAAAAAUAAUAAACCAUACUCAAUUGAUCAUCAGCAUGAUCAGUCAGGCCAGGCCAAUAUAAUCCUCCUUUUUCAGAAGGCCUUUAAUUUCACACUCCAAUUUGGCUCUCAUUUCGGGAGAGAGAUUAUCUCCCGACUUCUCCAGCAUUGAUGUCAUCAUCUCUAGAUUCUGCCUUAUGAAGUCAAUGGGAGGAGCAUCAGCAGGGUUUGGCACUGACCCAUAAGACUUUGCAGGUGUCCUGAAUCCCUCAGUAGCUGCACCAGCUGAAAGAUGAAGUUGGUAGUUGAUAAGGGUUGCACCGAAGGGACUUGUAUUCUCUAAGCUUCUAACUGCUUCUGCAGCAUCAGCGCUUGUCGCAAAAACAACUUGGGCAAUACCAGAAUCUUUUGACAACUGCAUUUCUGACUCCUUCAAGGGCCCAAACCUGCCAAAUGUUGCAACCAGAACUUCUUUCGAAGGCAUGGACACUCCUGGAGCAAAUGUUAAUAGCAGAGCAGUCCCUGGAGCUUCGCCAUUAGUCUCCACAUUAUCAUAAUUCAUAUUUAUAUCUGGUAUCCCCAAAGCUGAUUUCUUUCUUGGUCGCUGUGAAGUAACUCCUUUUUUUCUUCCUCUCUUCUUUUCAGAUUUGGCCGACAAGCUGGGUUCAGCAGGAGUCCCAUCCAUACCAGCAAUACUGGCAUCAACUGUAGCCUGCUUAGAAGUUGAUUUAUCUUUUCUUUUUCUUUUUUUUGGGCUAGGUUUACCUUCAGCAGCAAGUGAGCCAAUAAAUAAAGGUCCAUUGGCCAAAGGACCUGGAAUAGCAUAGUUUACAUUUGAAGUUGGUACACUAGCAGUAAACCCCUCCCUCCUACUUUGUUCAGGAAUCGAAUUUAUCGAAAAUGGACCAGUCACCUGUAAAUCUACUGACAAGGUUCUGGGUGCCACAUUACUUAAAUUUACAUCCACUGGCUUCUCCCUUGCAUUUGGCUCAAGUUCAACAUGGUUUGUCAGCUCAGAAUUUUCUAUCAACGAAUUUGUCAUAGUACCAUUGCCAUUCAAGUCUGGUAUGCUUGUUGUUUGGUUGGUGCGUAGAUCUGUAGGAUUUCCUCCUUGCUUCUUUUUUUUCUUCUUUGACCUAGGUUUUCCAUUUAGCGUGGAAGGGCCCAUCUCAGAUAAGCCAUCAGCAGCAAUAUUUGCAUUCACAUCUGAUAAUCCAUCAAGAGAUUUAAUUUUCGAUCUACCUGAUUUUCCAUUUUUCUUCUUCUUCUGCAUCUUGUGCUCAGCCUUAACAUCUGGCAAAGUCUGGCUUGUCUCCUGUGUAUCCUUUCCCAGCAAUGCUUCGUUACUGAUCCCAAUCACAUUCUUGCAAUGCAUCUCAUAAAUGGACUCAUCAUGAAAUACUGAUAUUCUGAACCUUGAAAAGAACCACACUAUUAAAUCAAAAUUUUUACUCUUAUUUGGAUACAGACAAUCCACAGCUGUGAAACAAAGUUCAGAAAGCAAAUUGGCCGCACUUAUCAACUCUGGGUUGCUCAAUGCAUCAUUCCCACUUGUGAAUUUUCUGAACCAUUCGUUCUGAAUCCUCUUCCCACUAGAUUUAGAAAUCGAAUGGGAUCCAAUAAAUUGACCAGCAACGGCAUUUUCAUAUUCUGCCUCUUGAGAAGCUUCAUGAGCCUUAGGGUCCUCUGUUUCAUUUGGCAAGCCGCAAUGUUCCCAAUUGACAAAGGGAUAUGAUAAGUACUUGCUCUUCUUCCUUACUCUCAACUCAGAGCUCCUCUCUACAGUUGUUGGAGAUCCCAAGAUACGCAUCUCCUCCCCCUUAGAUGAAGAAGCUGAUAGACUAACUUCUUGACCUUGAACUUUAAGUUCAGAAUACCUCUUCCUUUUUCUCUUCUUGGAAUUUGAUGCUAGAUCAUCUGGGGCACCAUUUCCUUCAACAAGAAUGCCUUCGCAAAUCUCUGUGGUAGUAUCCAGGUCCCCAUGAAAAAUCAUGGCUUGGUCUUCAAUCUUAUUCUGCUGUAGAACUUCAACUUCUGUGCUUUGUGAUUUUCCUUUGGCAGGACCUGAAUUUUGGCCUCCAAUUGGAGCAUCAAUUUGGCUUUUUGUCAUUAACUUGUCACCAGCAUUGUCUAGGUCAUCAGUUGAUUCCCAGAGUUGUUCCAUAGGCAAUAGACUAUGUCCAAGGGAAUGAUAAAAUGCUGACAAAAAAUUCUCCGCAACAGUUAACUCGAGCAUGCCAAGCUUGGAGACAGCCUGUGCAAGAUUUUUAAUUUGCGCAAGAAACUUCGCUGGUUCAAAGACGCUGCUUGAAAAUUCCCCAAAUCUGCUCCCUAGCAAAGAAACUCCUCUAGCUUCAACAUUGCUAGAUGAUUGCCAAAAUUUUUUAAGGAUACAAGGACAAGUCAUCUCUGAUUUCAGGCACUUACCAAACUCGUCCACCGCCUUCUCUACCGCUCCAAGGAAGCUUCUGGCCUUGUUUUGCCCAGCCAUCUGUUCAAAGUUCUCAUGAAAAGGCUUUAAUUGAGAUGGCAAGCACCAUGCAACGUGGCUACUUCCCAAAUAACCAACCAACAGGCAGUUCCUCUGGUCACUCCCCACAGCAUAUUUUCUUGCAUCUAAUGGAUCAUAAAUCUUCCCAGGCCACCAAGACUUAUUUUUGGUUUUAAUCCAUACGAUAUCACCUACAUGGAACUUGCCAAUUAACUUUUCCAUCUCCAUAUUACCAACUUCUUUAGACUCCUCUUGACUAACGAACAACCCAGAACAAUCGAUGUCUUUGAGAUUGCUAUGACUUACCCUGCUCAGAGAAUCAGAAAAGUCUACAUAAAGUGAUAAAUUACCUCCACAAACCUCUAACUUCCUACCAGACACGACGCCAUUAAAUCCUAACAGCUCAUCCUCCUUCAUAUCUUCAUCUUUCAGAGUCUUUUCAACUUCAACAUCCUCACACACAGCACCACUCAAAUCCACUAAAUUUUCAUUCAAUCCCGCCACUGUGGAACUGUUUCCAUUCUCAAUUGCUCUAUCAACACCAUUGUUCACCAAAUAACUCUUCUCGAUGUCAAUAUUAUUCACAUCAGCAGCAACUAUCGUACUUCCACUGCCACUGGCAUCCAAAUUCUCUGCUUUAAUGUCAUCAACUCUUUUCACUAAUUCCACAUUACCUUUCCCAUUAUCUUCUAUAGGAACCUCCAAAUUCGAUUCUAACACAAUACAGUUCUUACUUAAGCCAAAUAAGUCAGAAGGCCCAGAAGCUUCUACUAGAUUCCUGAUGUCUGGGUUUUGAGCUUCUAGGGUUUUACCAUGUGGGAGUUUAACUUCGAGGGUUUCUUGAGUUUUAUGGUUCUCCAUUAUCAAAAAUGUUGAAAAAAUUCUGCCCUUUUCCUCUCCAGUUUACCAAUCUCAAUAUUACUUCAAGAGCUGCAUACAAAACAAUGAGAUUUAAAUUGUGACCAAGGUCCACGACUCGCUAUGUUCUGAGCCAGUCGAGUUGAAGAAGAAGUAUUUUUUGAUUAUCGUGGUGCAGAGACGGAGAGAAGAUAUUACAAAGGGUGGCAGAAAGAAAGAAGAGAAGAGAAGAGAGCUAAUGGGCUUUUAAAAAAAAGCUGAGAAAUUGUUUGGGCGAAGGAUACGGUACUAAUAACCGAGAGAGAGAAAGAUAGCAACGGCGAAGGCUUGUGUUUGCGGGUAGGUAAGCUGUCCCGUAAUUUGAGGUAGUUUUCUGGAUUUAGAACACUGCACGUCAACACCACAACACAUUUGCAUCGUCUUUGGGUCGUCUGGUUUGGUUACAUUGCAUUACAAAGCACCAGCGCAAUGAGGGAGUGUUUAGAAUGGUGGAUCCCGUCCUUCACCAUCAAAAAAGCUUAAUGGCAUCCAUUACUGCUCUUUGAUAAGAAAGGAUCAUUGUAUUUUUCUUCUAUUCGUGCUAUCCAAAUAGUACCACCAAAUCAAGUGAAAUAAUUCUUGAAUGGGC